CAGGGGACGGGGCAGGAGUUAAGGCCUCCUGUUGUGCCUGGGCAGCAGUCAGUGAGCCAGGAGAGCAGAAGGCAGCUCUGGGGGCAGGUACAGUUGCCAGCAGCAAUGCCAACUCUUCCCCCAUGAAUACCAGUGCAUCAGCCCAGCAUGGAGUGUUUCAGCUCAGCAGCACUGUGCAUGUCCCCAGGCGGUGGCAGCUGGUACCAGAGGUGGUGACUCCAGGCUGGCAGUGGUUGCAGACAUGGUUUGGAGCGGAUUGGGCACCCCUGCGUCCCAGACAUCGCUGUGUUAUCAACAGUGUUUUUCUCCUAAAGCCGAAAUACUGCAUCAU
ensembl:lncRNA